rnacentral:rRNA from 1 species
UGGGGAAUUUUCCGCAAUGGGCGCAAGCCUGACGGAGCAAUACCGCGUGAGGGAGGACGGCUUUUGGGUUGUAAACCUCUUUUAUUCGGGAAGAAGAUCUGACGGUACCGAAUGAAUCAGCAUCGGCUAACUCCGUGCCAGCAGCCGCGGUAAUACGGAGGAUGCAAGCGUUAUCCGGAAUUAUUGGGCGUAAAGCGUCCGUAGGUGGCUUGACCAGUCUGUUGUCAAAGCGUGCGGCUCAACCGCAUACGGGCGAUGGAAACUGUGAAGCUAGAGUGCGAUAGGGGUCAGAGGAAUUCCCGGUGUAGCGGUGAAAUGCGUAGAUAUCGGGAAGAACACCAGCGGCGAAAGCGUCUGACUGGGUCUGCACUGACACUGAGGGACGAAAGCUAGGGGAGCG